rnacentral:rRNA from 1 species
GACGAACGCUGGCGGCGUGCUUAACACAUGCAAGUCGAACGGAAAGGCCUGCUUUCCCUUGUGGAUUGCGGGUACUCGAGUGGCGAACGGGUGAGUAACACGUGAGUGAUCUGCCCCCAACUUUGGUAUAAGCCUGGGAAACUGGGUCUAAUUCCCGAUAGGACUGCAGGGUGGUGCCUGUGGUGGAAAACGAUUUUCUAGUGGUUGGGGAUGAGCUCGCGGCCUAUCAGCUUGUUGGUGGGGUAAUGGCCUACCAAGGCGGCGACGGGUAGCCGGCCUGGGAGGGUGGACGGCCACAUUGGGACUGAGAUACGGCCCAGACUCCUACGGGAGGCAGCAGUGGGGAAUAUUGCACAAUGGGCGGAAGCCUGAUGCAGCGACGCCGCGUGGGGGAUGACGGCCUUCGGGUUGUAAACUCCUUUCGACCGCGAGGAAGCCACCUGGUUGGAAGGGUGGUGACGGUAGUGGUAGAAGAAGCACCGGCUAACUACGUG